GUGCUCUCUUCGGCAGCACGUAUACUAAAAAACUGGAAUGAUACAGAGAAAAUUAGCAUGGACCCUGUGCAAGCAUGACACACAAGUUCGUGAAGUGUUCCAUUAAAAA